GGUAAUUUGACCUCCGAUUCGGGAGUUUUUUAUAUGGUUAGACUCGUGAGAGUACGAGGUUUCUGAAAAUAUAAAAAUUAUUCGAUUCCAAGACGUUGGCCGGAGGGGCAUUUUUGUCAUUUAGCCUAUUUUCGCGCCUUAGCUUUAAUUUUAACAGUGUAAUUAGUUACGUGCGAUGUUAUUUACAAUAUGUAAUUGGUUUGGAUAGAUUUGGGCCACUCGGAGUCGGAUACUCUUGGCAAGGACGUUGUUUCUUAGCGGUUUUGUACCAAUUCGAGGUAAGUGGCUUGUCUAACCUUGUGUGGGGAACCNNNNNNNNNNNNNNNNNNNNNNNNNNNNNNNNNNNNNNNNNNNNNNNNNNNNNNNNNGUGGCUUGUCUAACUUUGUGUGGGGGACCUCUCCCCUUAGGAUAUCCUUGUUGUUGUUUAAAUGCCUUGUGCGCGAGGUGACGGGCACGUACUUGUACUAGUUGUUAAAAAUUCACCUUGGCUUAUUUAGACUGUGUUUCUUCGCAUAUUUAACUGUUAAAAGUGCAACUUCGCUCGUUUUAGCUUAGGAAAAACAUGUUAGUAAUUUAUUUGCUCUAUUUGACUAAAUUGCAAUACUUGUUCUCUUUGUGAGCAUGCUAGGCUCUAGACGUUUACAUUGUUGUUGUACUUGGCUUCUUUCUGUUAAAUAUUUAAUUGUUGUGAAGUGUUUACGUUUGGGACUACGGGUUCGAUUCCCCGGAGAUCCCCUGCUGUUGAUAAGAUGGACUACGGGUUCGAUCCUCGGUAGAUCCUCUGUUAUUGAUAUGAUAGACUACGGGUUCAAUUCCCGGUAGAUCCUCUGUUAUUGAUAUGCUGGACUACGGUUUCAAUUCCCGGUAGAUCCUCUGAUGUUGGUAUGACGGACUACGGGUUCAAUUCCCGGGAGAUCCUCAGAUGUUGGUAAGAAUGGACUGUGGGUUUAAUUCCCAAACCCGGAGCUCCAUAUGGUAUCCUGACUUUCGAGUGAUUUUCCUUGUAUUCGUAGAUUGUAUUUGUAGCCUGUUCCGUAUUACUUAUUGUCUUGCUAGAUAUUCAGGGUUUCUUUCAUUAUCCACAGUCUUUUAUUCUUAUAUUAUUUCUUAUGUUCAUCUCAGUAGGGGCAUCGACCUUCCUCGUCACUACUCCACCGAGGUUAGGCUUGACACUUACUGAGUACCGUUGUGGUGUACUCAUGCUACUCUUAUGCACACUUUUGUUGUGCAGAUCCAGGUACUAUUGGUCAGGCGCUCUAUUAGGGAUUUUGGAGCACACUUGGAGACUUGAGGUAUGCAUAUGCCGCGUCCGCAGAGCCGAAGAGUCUCCUUCUAUUCUACCUUUAGCUAGCAGUUUCAUUCAUNN
rnacentral:lncRNA from 1 species